AAGAAUCUUAGAGUCCUUCUCAAUAUUUGGAUGUUAUACUUUCUCCAAGAAAGCCCGGUGUCACUGAGAUGACGCACAGCCUGCUUAACGUUUCUGGACGUUCUGAAGCGGAGCGCCUUUCUUUAGGAUUCUGAAGGCUUACGUGAUGUCGAGCUGGGAAUCAUAAACACAUGCCAGAUAAGAUCCUUUCCAACGGUUUGUGGACUGGCUCUGCAUGGAUGGAAGCACUGCAAGGGAAUGCCUCACAAAAGAGAAUGCUUUAAGGUAGGAAGGAGAAAUGCAUUAAUGAAAAACACUUGGGUCUUAGUUCCAAUUUUAGCCAUGGAUGCCAGGUUAAAACUAUUGACCUGGACGUAGAGAGCUACAGAUUCCUUAUGUUGAUUGAACUGGGCAGUGUGAAGGGAUUUCUGGUUUUCAACAUGUCUGAUAUCCUGACCAAUUAACAUGCACGCCGCUUGACAGACAACGGCUCCACGUCUGGAAAAUCUGGCAGAAUCUAAAACCGAUCAGUGGGGACCUGUCUGCUUCAAUCACUGCUGGUUGUGAGUUUGUGUCCAAAUGAGGUGUCCUGUCUUCACAGCAAUGUGACCUCGAAAUAUCCUGAGAACCUUUAUAAGUCGGGAACCUUCUGUGACAGACACCCUGAGAUGCCAAAGAACUCAGGAAGGUGCACAUGUUGGAUUCCCCCACUCACGUGACAUGGACGUGCUCAGAGCAGACCCUCUACAUGCUCCUGUGUUCAUCACGUUUGUCUCCGACAAAGCCUCAUGAAAGAAGAGCAGCAAUA